GGCAGCAGCGGUAGUGAAGAGACGUGGCGUUGAUGACAGAAGACUUCUCCUUCCUCCUCUGUUCACGAUACACGAUGGUGGCAGAAGAUUCAUCAAUGGAAA